GCCACCUCUCGCAGACUCCUGGUACGCUCUGUCCUACCUCUACUUCGCUCCGUUGGGCACACUGAUCACAGUUGGGUCUGGCCUACUGGUGAGCAUGAUCACAGGCGGAUGCAAGCAAGAAAGGCGGAAUUCUGAUCUGUUUGUGAGGAAGAGUGAUUUGUUCUGCUUCCACUAUUGCAAUAAAUCAGAGGCAUCAGACUUCAAAGAAAAGCCUCCAGCAGAGAUUUACAUGGGAGCAGACAACCCAGCAUUCAAGGACUGGGAUGUGAAAAGCAA